rnacentral:rRNA from 1 species
UGUAAGCGUAUACCAAAGUUGUUGCAGUUAAAACGCUCGUAGUCGGAAUUUGGCAGUUCCGGAUGUGUGCACGUCGUGUGCGCACUUCGCGGGGAUUGCUUUUGUGGUCUUGCGUAGGAUGAGGCACUUUUAUUAGUGAACGUCCUCACGCAACCACUUUUUACUGUGAGAAAAUCAGAGUGCUCAAAGCAGGCAUUUGCCGUGAAUGUAUUAGCAUGGAAUAAUAGAAUAGGACUUGGUUCUAUUUAGUUGGUUUGUUGGGACUGAGUAAUGAUUAAGAGGGACAGUUGGGGGCAUUUGUAUUUCGGUGCUAGAGGUGAAAUUCUUAGAUUACCGAAAGACAAACUGCUGCGAAAGCGUCUGCCAAGGAUGUUUUCAUUGA